AUCCCUACGGGAGGCAGCAGUGGGGGAUAUUGCACAAUGGGGGAAACCCUGAUGCAGCGACGCCGCGUGGGUGAAGAGGCGCCUCGGCGCGUAAAGCCCUGUCAGCAGGGAAGAAAAAAGGACGGUACCUGAGUAAGAAGCCCCGGCUAACUACGUGCCAGCAGCCGCGGUAAUACGUAGGGGGCAAGCGUUAUCCGGAAUUACUGGGUGUAAAGGGAGCGUAGACGGCAAUGCAAGUCCGGAGUUGAAUGCGGCAGCUCAACUGCCGAACUGCUCUGGAAACUGUAUGGCUUGUGUGCAGGGGG
rnacentral:rRNA from 1 species